UGAAGGGUCCAGCACAGAGCAGGGAUGUGGGGAGCGCGCCGUAUGCACCAGACAUGAGUGGUCCCAGGGAACGCUCUGGGAAGGACUCAAAUACACAGAUUUGUUUUCAUGCACUUAGCAGAGAGCUCCUCCCUGGAUGGCUUCCGGAUGGAGGCGGGGCAGAUUGGACGGAGGAAUGAGCUGAAGGAAGAGGAUAUGGCAGGGGUGAAGGCCAGCUCCCGGAGGCCUCAGUGCUGA
rnacentral:lncRNA from 1 species